CCUANGGGGGGCAGCAAUUAGGAAUCUUGCGCAAUGGGCGAAAGCCUGACGCAGCGACGCCGCGUGACUGACGAAGUCCUUCGGGAUGUAAAAGUCUUUUAGCAGGGAAGAAGAUCUGACGGUACCUGCUGAAUAAGCUCCGGCUAACUACGUGCCAGCAGCCGCGGUAAUACGUAGGGAGCGAGCGUUGUCCGAAGUUACUGGGCGUAAAGCGCGCGUAGGCGGUCGCUUAAGUUAGAUGUGAAAUCCUGGGGCUCAACCCCAGAACUGCAUCUAAAACUGGGCGACUUGAGGACGGAAGAGGGCAGUGGAAUUCCUGGUGUAGCGGUGAAAUGCGUAGAUAUCAGGAGGAACACCCGUGGCGAAGGCGGCUGCCUGGUCCGUAACUGACGCUGAGGUGCGAAAGCUAGGGGAGCGAACGGGAUUAGAUACCCGANUANUC
rnacentral:rRNA from 1 species